CGCGGCAGCCCGCCCGCUCCACGCCUCGCAGCGCGGCGCCCGCUAGCCGCAGCCCGGGGGAAACCGAGACCGAAGGGAAAAAGUUGCAUUUGAGAUUGCGAGGGUCGGGGCUGGGGAGGGAGAGUUGGCGAGCUGGCUGCACGACACGGAAAGGCGCUCUCCUUUCCACUUUUUGGCCCUCGCGCUACCCGGUUUUGCUGCAAUCCGGACCGCGGUAGGAAGUGAAAUGAACGUGGCGGAGGUCAUGCAACUUGCAGGCAAGAUGGGGGAAGGGGUAUGCCGGUGUCAC
rnacentral:lncRNA from 1 species